rnacentral:rRNA from 1 species
GACGAACGCUGGCGGCGUGCUUAACACAUGCAAGUCGAACGGAAAGGCCCUGCUUUUGUGGGGUGCUCGAGUGGCGAACGGGUGAGUAACACGUGAGUAACCUGCCCUUGACUUUGGGAUAACUUCAGGAAACUGGGGCUAAUACCGGAUAGGAGCUCCUGCUGCAUGGUGGGGGUUGGAAAGUUUCGGCGGUUGGGGAUGGACUCGCGGCUUAUCAGCUUGUUGGUGGGGUAGUGGCUUACCAAGGCUUUGACGGGUAGCCGGCCUGAGAGGGUGACCGGCCACAUUGGGACUGAGAUACGGCCCAGACUCCUACGGGAGGCAGCAGUGGGGAAUAUUGCACAAUGGGCGGAAGCCUGUUGCAGCAACGCCGCGUGCGGGAUGACGGCCUUCGGGUUUUAAACCGCUUUCGCCUGUGACGAAGCGUGAGUGACGGUAAUGGGUAAAGAAGCACCGGCUAACUACGUG